rnacentral:rRNA from 1 species
AUGGCCGGAGCGGGCCGCCGCCGCGUGGUGUUCUUCCCGUUCCCGUUCCUGGGCCACUUCAACCCGGUGCUCCGCCUCGCGGGCGCGCUGCACGCCCGCGGCCUCGCGGUCACCGUUUUCCACACCGAGCAGCGGGUGCCGGACCCGGCCGACUACCCCGCGGGCUACCGCUUCGUGCCCCUCCCCGUGGAGGUGCCCCCGGAGCUGGCGGCGUCCGAGGACAUCGCCAGGAUGGGCAUGGCCAUGAACGACGCCGCCGAGGCCCCGUUCAGGGACCGGCUGGCCGCGCUGCUCGCCGAGGAGGCGGGGGAGGACGGCGGCGUCCUCUGCGUCAUCACCGACGUCGUCUGGUACUCGGCGCAGGCCGUGGCCAGGGAGCUCGGCGUGCCGGCGCUGGGGAUCAUGACCGCCAGCGCCGCCAUCUUCCGGGUCUACAUGGCGUACCAGACCUUGAUUGACAAGGCCUACUUGCCCGUGCAAGAUGCGCGCAAGGACGAUCCGGUGGAGGAGCUGCCGCCGUACCUUGUGAAGGAUCUGCUGCGGCACGACACGAGCAAGCUGGAGGAUUUCGCCGAGCUGCUCCGGCACAGCGUCGCCGGGGCGCGGCAGUCCUCGGGCCUCAUAAUCAACACCCUGGGCGCCAUCGAGGCCGCCAACCUGGAGCGGAUCCGCGAGGACCUGUCGGUCCCGGUGUUCGCCGUCGCGCCUCUCCACAAGCUGGCGCCGUCGGCCAAGUCCACCAGCCUGGGCGAGACGCAGGCGGACCGCGGAUGCCUCGGCUGGCUGGACACCCAGAAGCCCGGCAGCGUGCUGUACGUGAGCUUCGGGAGCCUGGCCGCCAUGGACCCGCACGAGUUCGUGGAGCUGGCGUGGGGGCUGGCGCUGAGCAAGCGGCCGUUCGUGUGGGUCGUCCGGCCCAAGCUCAUCCGCGGGUUCGAGUCCGGCGAGCUGCCCGACGGGCUCGGGGAGGAGCUGCGCGGGCGCGGCAUGAUCGUGAGCUGGGCGCCGCAGGAGGAGGUGCUGGCGCACCCGGCGGUGGGCGCCUUCUUCACCCACAGCGGCUGGAACUCCACGGUGGAGGCGAUCGCGGAGGGCGUGCCGAUGAUCUGCCACCCGCUGCACGGCGACCAGUACGGCAACGCCAGGUACGUGGCCGACGUCUGGAGGGUGGGCGUGGAGGUCGACGGCUCGCACCGGCUGGAGAGAGGGAGGAUCAAGGCCGCCAUUGAGAGGAUGAUGGAGAGCGGAGAGGGGCGGGAGAUCAGGGAGAGGAUGAAGGGGCUGAAGAUGGCCGCGGAGGAUGGCAUCAACGAGCGUGGGUCGUCCCACACGCAUCUCAGUGAUUUGGUUGCUCUCAUCAACUCGUUCUGA